UAACAAGGUUUCNGUAGGUGAACGUGNGGAAGGAUCAUUAUNGAAAUACACNUGAUGGGUUGUUGNUGGUUCUNUAGAGAGCAUGNGCACGCCUUGUCAUNUUUAUAUCUCCACCUGNGCACCUUUUGUAGNCCUUCCAGGUAUAUGUUGNUUUUUCAUUUACCCCAAUGUAUGUUAAUAGAAUGUUGUGCAUAUAAAAAUCUAUACAACUUUCAGCAACGGAUCUCUUGGCUCUCGCAUCGAUGAAGAACGCAGCGAAAUGCGAUAAGUAAUGUGAAUUGCAGAAUUCAGUGAAUCAUCGAAUCUUUGAACGCACCUUGCGCUCCUUGGUAUUCCGAGGAGCAUGCCUGUUUGAGUGUCAUUAAUAUAUAUCAAUCUUCUCAUUUAUGAGUGGUUUGGAUGUGGGGGUUUGCUGGCCUCUUAAAUGAGUUCAGCUCCUCUGAAAUGCAUUAGCAGAACAACCUUGUUCAUUGGCGUGAUAACUAUCUACGCUAUUGAAUGUGAGGGAUGGUUCAGCUUUCUAACAGUCCUUGGACAACUUAUCAUUUAUGUGACCUCAAAUCAGGUAGGACUACCCGCUGAACUUAAGCAUAUCAAUAAGCGGAGGAAAAGAAACUAACAAGGAUUCCCCUAGUAACUGCGAGUGAAGCGGGAAAAGCUCAAAUUUAAAAUCUGGCGGUCUUUGGCU
rnacentral:rRNA from 1 species